UACGGAGGGUGCAAGCGUUAUCCGGAUUCACUGGGUUUAAAGGGUGCGUAGGUGGCUAUAUAAGUCAGUGGUGAAAGCCCGCGGCUCAACCGUGGAAUUGCCAUUGAAACUGUGUAGCUUGAGUACAGUUGAAGUGGGCGGAAUACAUCAUGUAGCGGUGAAAUGCUUAGAUAUGAUGUAGAACACCGAUUGCGAAGGCAGCUCACUAAGCUGUAACUGACACUGAGGCACGAAAGCGUGGGUAGCGAACAGG
rnacentral:rRNA from 2 species